CUCAGCCUCCCGAGUAGCUGGGAUUACAGGCACGUGCUAUCAUGCCCGGCUAAUUUUUGUAUUUUGAGUAGAGACGGGGUUUCGCCAUGUUGGCCAGGCUGGUCUCAAACUCCCGACCUCAUGCGAUGCGCCCAUCUCAGCCUCACAGUGCUGGGAUUACAGGCGUGAGCCACUGCGCCUGGCCACGGUCACGGAUUUUUUAAAACUCUAAGGUCAUUAGCUUGACAUCUAUAAAAUCUCCUCCAUGACAUGAAGCCUUAAACCUAGGGACAGAAACACACUGAGACACAGAAACACCUUCUGUGCUUCAAUACACAGAGCAUUCUCUGGAAAUCCCUACGACACAGGCUUAAAGGCCAGUGCUGUGCCUGAAAGACAUUUUGAACAGGCAAGGAGUGUAAGCUAAUACACUACUGUUACAACAUGGACAAAUACUUGUAAGAUGUUAAAUGAACAAAGGACCAGAAUACAAAACUGAAUACGCAGCAUGAGGACAACCAAAGUUAAACCCACACACUCACACACCCCGUCUACAGAGAGACUAGAAAGGAACACGCCAAUGCCAAGAGUGGUUAUGUUACAGAAGGUUGGGACUCGGGGUGAUUUUGUUGUUUUGACUUUCAUUUUUCCAAAUCUUUAAUGAGCAUGUGCCACUCUUUCAUAAUGAAACAAGCAAACAAUAAGUACUUACUACUUACUGAAUGAAUAGUUGCCACUUAAACAAUUAUCCUAAAAUUAUACCAAGGAAACUAGGUUUGGGCCCAGCAAAUGACUCAAAUGUAAUAUUCACUCGAGGUAAGGACAGUGGGGUGGUGUGGGCUGGCACAGCAGAAAAUUUCUAGACCAGGGGAAUCCACGGUCCACGGACCAGGUUAAGAACACUGGUCAGAGGCUGGGAGUAGUGGCUCACGGCUGUAAUCCCAGCACUUUGGGAGGCCAAGGUGGGCGGAUCACCCGAGAUCAUGAGUUCGAGAUUAGCCUGGCCAACAUGGUGAAAUCCCAUCUCUACCAAAAACACAAAAUUAGCCAGGCGUGGUGGCGCGUGCCUG
rnacentral:lncRNA from 10 species